UGGGGAAUAUUGCACAAUGGACGGAAGUUUGAUGCAGCGACGCCGCGUGGAGGGUGUAGGCCUUCGGGUUGUGAACUCCUUUUUCUCGCGAAAAAGGCACAGUUUUGGCUGUGUUGAUGGUAGUGGGGGAAGAAGCGCCGGCUAACUACGUGCCAGCAGCCGCGGUAAUACGUAGGGCGCGAGCGUUGUCCGGAUUUAUUGGGCGUAAAGAGCUCGUAGGUGGUUCGUCGCGUCUGUCGUGAAAGCCAGCAGCUUAACUGUUGGUCUGCGGUGGGUACGGGCGGGCUUGAGUGCGGUAGGGGUGACUGGAAUUCCUGGUGUAGCGGUGGAAUGCGCAGAUAUCAGGAGGAACACCGAUGGCGAAGGCAGGUCACUGGGCCGUUACUGACACUGUGGAGCGAAAGCGUGGGGAGCGAACAGG
rnacentral:rRNA from 1 species